AACGCUGGCGGCGUGCCUAACACAUGCAAGUCGAGCGAGGAGAUUCCUUCGGGAUGAUCCUAGCGGCGGACGGGUGAGUAACACGUGGGCAACCUGCCUCAUAGAGAGGAAUAGCCUUCCGAAAGGGAGAUUAAUACCUCAUAACAUUGCAGUUUCGCAUGGAACAGCAAUUAAAGGAGUAAUCCGCUAUGAGAUGGGCCCGCGGCGCAUUAGCUAGUUGGUGAGGUAACGGCUCACCAAGGCGACGAUGCGUAGCCGACCUGAGAGGGUGAUCGGCCACAUUGGGACUGAGACACGGCCCAGACUCCUACGGGAGGCAGCAGUGGGGAAUAUUGCACAAUGGGGGAAACCCUGAUGCCAGCAACGCCGCGUGAGUGAUGACGGCCUUCGGGUUGUAAAGCUCUGUCUUCAGGGACGAUAAUGACGGUACCUGAGGAGGAAGCCACGGCUAACUACGUGCCAGCCGCCGC
rnacentral:rRNA from 1 species